rnacentral:lncRNA from 1 species
GUAAACUGUAAAAACAGUAGUACAUACUACAGUGUACUACAGUCUGCAAAAACACUACAGUCCUCAAAAAACAACGGUUUUCCCACUAUAGUAAUAAUACAGUAUUUAAACUAUAGUAUUUUUGAAUGUGGGCCUGACAGAAGAUCAACCACUUCCCUGGCAUGAUGGAGCUGUGCAAGAAGAACAUACUGGCUCGCAACAUUUACCGCAUGCUGAAGAGGUUCCCCAAGGUGUACAACAUCUUCCCCCGCACCUGUUACAGUGACUUCCAGGCCUACACCAGGGCCAAAAAGCACAAGACGUACAGUACCAGUCAAAAGUUUGGACACACCUACUCAUUCAAGGGUUUUUCAAUAUUUUUACUAUUUUCUACAUUGUAGAAUAAUAGUGAAGACAUCAAUACUAUGAAAUCACACUUAUGGAACACUUAUUUCAUACUUGUGAUGUCUUCACUAUUGUUCUACAAUGUAGAAAAUAGUAAUAAUAAAGCAAAACCCUUGAAUGAGUAGGUGUGUCCAAAAGUUUGACUGGUACUGUACAUCUGCAAGGCGGACACGGGCAGCCAGGGCCGUGACAUCUACCUCACCAAGUCCACCAAAGACUUCCCACACGGAGAGCACAUGAUCUGCCGGAUCUACAUCUUCAGGGCAUGACUGUAGUCUCAUGUACUGCAACAAAUAAUAACAUAGUGCAUAGAUCUGUGGUUUUCAACCUGUGGUCCUUAGGGCUACUGCAGGUGGUCGUGGUUUUUAAAAUAGUAUUUCUUCCUAAAAUAACAACAUUUGGGAAUAUUAAUGGUAUAAUAAGCCAUUUUAAAUAGCGUUUAACAAUGCAGAUUGUUUAUCAUUAUAAUAAUAAUAAUAAUAGGCCUUUAAACUUUUACAUUCACUGAUAAAAUGUACUCUAAAUUGUAUUUAUUUAAAAUUCUGCAUCUGCGCGAAUGGUGGUCCACAAACUUUUGACUGUGGUCCCCGGAACGGAAAACUUUGGGAACCAAUAGAUGUAUGUGGCUCCUGUUCCUAUUCUAUUCAAUGUUAUUGAAUAUAUUCCAUAAUAUCCAGUAACUGGAGUUGCCAGGGAAGGCGAAACAGGCAUUUUCUCAACCUGUCUUGUCAUAUCUCCAGAUAUUCUACUUUGUCUCAGCCUCUUGUUCCUCUCUGCCACCACAAGCAGCCAUUGGUCAUUGACGGCUUCACGUUUGACCUGCGCAGCUACGUGCUGGUGAUUUCUGCGACCCCCUUCCGUAUCUUCCUGUAUAAGGAGCAGCUGGCCCGCUUCUGCACCCGCCACUUCAACUACUCCACCCGCAACAACGUGGUGCGGCACGGCACAACCACAGGAGAGGGCAACGUGUUUUACAUUGUGUGCUUCUCAUGUUUAUUUCAAUGUCAUUGGUCUUUUAUGUUCGUACUGUGUAGUUUUGUUAGGGAUCGUAUUUAAAGUUUCAAGUUUUUUAUGCCACGUGCACAAGUACAGUGAAAUGCCUUUCUGGCAAGCUCUAAACCCAACAAUGCAGUAUUCAAUAUUAAUAUAGUGCUACAAAUAACAUAAGGUCAAACAAACACACAAGAUAUUAAAAUAAGAGCACGAGAAGUAAUUAAGCUAUAUACAGGGUCAGUUCCAAUACCAGAUUUACAAUGUGCAGGGAUACUGGAGUGAUAGAGGUAGAUAUGUAUAGGGGUAAGAUGACUAGGCCUCAGGAUACAAUAUAUGAUAAACAGUGUAGCAGCAUAUGAUGAUUGUACUGUAUGUGAGUGUGUGUAAAUGUGCCAGUCUAAAUGUGUGUGCAUGUUAUGUGUGUGUGAGCAAAUUAAGUGUGUGUGAGUGUGCAUAGAGACAGUGCAAAAAUAAAAUGAAUGUAUAGUACAAUGUAGGAUAGAAGUGGUAACAUUUGUUUUCAUCAGGAAAUUGAUAUGUUGUACAUCAUCAGUAUGUUCUAAACGUGUUCAAGGGGACAGAGACAGACAGGAACACACUCAAACACAGACACGCAGGCAGACGGACUUAGAUAAGAUAGACGUCUGUCUUUGAACUCAGUGGGUGUGUUCAAUCUUGCUCCUCUCAAACCGUAUUUGUUUACCAGUGAUAUGGCCCCAUUGAUGACUCAAGCUACUGUUUUACAAGCUCUUGUCAUAAAAGACUUAGCAUGGGCCGACAUCGAGGAUGUGGUGAUCAAGGCUCUGGUCUCAGCCCACUCAGUGCUCCACCACAGCUACCACACCUGCUUCUCGCACAACACCACCACCAGUUCUCUGCCCCCGAGCCUGCCUGCCAUCCUGCACCUGCCUGACUCUGACCUGAUCACGUACCACGUACCUCUGCCUGCCCUCUGCCUGCCCUGUGUUUCUAAUAAAUAAUCUGAGAACUGUACUAUCCGCCUCCCGUGUCUGCAUCUGGGUCAUAUCCUGAGUCUGAUAGUACAAACUGGCCAUGACUGACCCAGCAGACUCUUACCGGCUCUGCAGCGCCAUCUUCUCCCAGGGAGCCACCAUUGGAAGACACAACGAGUUACUUAAAGUACUUAUGGAAGGAUUCCAGACCUUGGCGGUACACCAGGACCGUGCCCUCAACACAUUGCUGGAACAAUUCCUCGGAUUGUCUGUGAGGCAGCCCGCCACUACAGUAAUCCCCCAGACUGUCAAUUACCCCACUACCACUGGCGUUUUUCCCCAAUCUACCCUGGCUUCCCAAGAACCCUGCAUACCUCCUCCGGAUCGCUACGCUGGAGAUCCCGGAUUCUGCCGGGCAUUUCUCUCCCAGUGUUCUCUCAUAUUUGAGCUGCAGCCCUCUUCAUUUGCAUGCUACCCUGGUGUCGGAGCAGGGAAUCCCCACACAACCCCUCUCCAUUCCCAUGGACAUCAGAGUGUCGGAUGGGCGCUCUAUUGGCAGAGUCACCCACACCACGUGUCCCAUUAACCUGAGAGUGUUGGGUAAUCACAGUGAGUUUAUGCAGUUCCUGCCGAUCGAAUCCCCUCAUGCACCUGUGGUUUUGGGGUUUUCCUGGCUCCAGACGCACAAUCACCUGAUCGACUGGGCUACUGGUUCUAUCCUGGGUUGGAGCCCGUUUUGCCAUGGGCAUUGCCAGAAGUUGGCGCUGCCUGCCCCGGGACGUCUUCCUGUGGGCUUGGGAAAAGCCCCGGACCUCUCCCCCGUUCACGCGGAGUACCAGGACCUCCAGGAGGUUUUUAGCAAGGCCCGUGCAAGUGCGCUUCCUCCGCAUUGGCCCUAUGACUGCGCCAUCGACCUUCUCCCGGGUACUACACCGCCUCGGGCGCAGCUUUAUUCCCUGUCAGGUCCGGAGACCAAGACAAUGGACCUGCCCUUUGCCUGCCCUGGCGUUUUGAUGGGUCCCCCCGCGGGACGGAUGAGCUAACAUAGGCUAAUGCGAUUAGCAUGAGGUUGACCAGCACCUGGGCGGCAUCCGCAGGAUCUUCCCCCGCCAGGGAGGGGAGGAGUACGACAAGUACCUCAAACACAGCAGCUCCCUCUUCCAGGAGACAGCUGCCACCAAGGCCAGAGAGAGGUGCACCAGGUUUACUGGAUAAGGGUAAAAUCCACAAAGUACCCCUCUGCCCCAUCCAUCCCAAUGGUGACCCAGGCGCUGAAGGAGGAAGAGGAGGGGGUGGAAGAACGUCUCGGGGCUGCAGCUGAGGGCCAGCCUGCUCAGAGACCUGGGCAGACCAGGUGUACGUCACAAUGCCACCUGUUGUCAAGACUGACUUACGGCAAUAUAUAAGCAACAUGGCAGCCAAGUCAGUGCCUCUCUGAGUAAGCUGGGUAACCACAACAACAGCAGCUCUAACGGGCCCUUUGCUGAAAUGCACGUGCAAGGCCCUCCCCCUAUCACCCUGAGGCCGCCCCACCCAAGGCUGCCCCACCCUCAGGUAUGUGAAGGACCCAGCGAUUGUUUUUGGUAACAAAUGCCACCUCUCUUCAGGUUUUGGGCAAGUUGGUAAGACAAGGUGGGUGAAAUAAGAUUUUCCCACACCUUUGGGGAAACCACAGCAGCUGUCUUAGUCUUCAGCUGUGACCUAGUGUGGACGCAGCGCAAGGCUCUCACUCCAGCAGCCCACUUCCGGCUGCCGCAGCUGUCCAGCGGACACUUUGUGGUGUCGUAGGGAGUGAGGAAGAUAUACCAGGCUACAGACCAGACUGUGGUCAACCGCUGUGAUUAGGCAGAACACCAGACCAGGAAGCACCUCGUCGACAACAAGGCCAUCGACCACGAUCACUUAAGGGACCUGCUCAAAGAAGAAGCUAUGGACUUAGAUAACGGCAAGUCUGCUGACCCUUCCAUGAACCAGCCAAACCAGCCGAUCUGAGACUCGUUGAGACUAUGUUGUACAGGUCAACAUAACUACAGGCAUGCUUGUGGAUUGCAUGCUGACACUUGUUUUUACUCUGCCAAGAUGAUUUUGUCCAGAUGAGAAUGUGGAUGGAACAUUGGUUCAUCUAUCAAGCCUCAUCAAGAGACGUUACUCCUCAAUAAUAAUACCUACAUGUUUCAAGCAGACCACCAAGGAAGUGAAGGUAACCUGCCUAAAUGAUUACUGCACCGUGGCACUCACGUCGGUAGCCAUGAAGUGCUUUGAAAGGCUGGUCAUGGCUCACAUCAACAGUAUCCUCCCGGACACCCUAGACCCACUCCAAUUCACAUACUGCUCCAACAGAUCCACAGAUGACGCAAUCUUAAUCGCACUCCACACUGCCCUUUCUCACCUGGACAAAAGGAACACCUAUGUGAGAAUGCUGUUCAUUGACUACAGCUCAGCGUUCAACACCAUAGUGCCCACGAAGCUCAUCACUAAGCUAAGGACUCUGGGACUAAACAACUCCCUCUGCAACUGGAUCCUGGACAUCCUGAUGGGCCGCCCCCAGGUGGUAAGAGUAGGCAACAACAUGUCUGCCACGUCGAUCCUUAACACUGGUGCCCCUCCUGUAUUCCCUGUUCUCCCACGACUACGUGGCCAAACACGACUCCAACACCAUCAUUAAGUUUGCUGAUGACACAACAGUGGUAGGCCUGAUCACCGACAACGAUGAGACGGCCUAUAGGGAGGAGGUCAGAGAACUGGCAGUGUGGUGCCAGGACAACAACCUCUCCCUCAAUGUGAGCAAGACUAAGGAGCUGAUUGUGGACUAUAGGAAAAGGCGGCCGAACAGGCCCCCAUUAACAUCGACAGGGCUGUAGUGGAGCGGGUCGAGAGUUUCAAGUUCCUUGGUGCCCAUAUCACCAACAAACUAUCAUGGUCCAAACAUACCAAGACAGUCUUGAAGAGGGCACGACAAUACAUUUUCCCCCUCAGGAGACUGAAAAGAUUUGGCAUGAGUCCCAAGAUCCUCAAAAGGUUCUACAUCUGCACCAUCGAGAGCAUCCUGACCGAUUGCAUCACCGCCUGGUAUGGCAACUGCUUGGCAUCUGACCGUAAGGCGCUGCAGAGGGUAGUGCGAACGGCCCAGUACAUCACUGGGGCCAAGCUUCCUGCCAUCCAGGACCGAUAUAAUAGGCGUGUCAGAGGAUAGUCCAUACAAUUGUCAGAGACUCCAGUCACCCAAGUUAUCGACUGUUUUUUCUGCUACCGCACGGCAAGCGGCACCGGAGCGCCAAGUCUAGGACCAAAAGGCUCCUCAAUGUCAUCUACCCCCAAGCCAUAAAUUCAUAAAAUCGCCACCGGACAAUUUACAUUGAUUCCCCCCCACUCCCUUUUGUACACUGCUACUACUCGCUGUUUGUUUGUUACCUAUGCAUAGUCACUUCGCCCCUACCUACAUGUACAGAUUACCUCAUAGCCUGUACCCCCGCACACUGACUCUAUACCGGUGCCCCCUGUAUAUAGCCUCGUUAUUAUUAUUCUUGUUGUGUUACUUUUUAUUAUUACUUUUUUUAUUUUAGUUUACUUGGUAAAUAUUUUCUUCUUCUUUGACUGCACUGUUGGUUAAGGGCUUGUACAGUUGAAGUUGGAGGUUUACAUACACCUUAGCCAAAUACAUUUAAACUCAGUUUUUCACAAUUCUUGACAUUUUAAUCCUUGUAAAAAUUCCCUGUCUUAGGGCAGUUAGAAUCACCACUUUAUUUUAAGAAUGUGAAAUAUCAGAAUAAUAGUAGAGAGAAUGAUUUAUUUCAACUUUUAUUUCUUUCAUCACAUUCCCAGUGAGUCAGAAGUUUACAUACACUCAAUUAGUAUUUGGUAGCAAUGCCUUUACAUUGUUUAACUUGGGUCAAGCGUUUCGGGUAGCAUUCCACAAGCUUCCCACAAUAAGUUGGGUGAAUUUUGGCCCAUUCCUCCUGACAGAGCUGGUGUAACUGAGUCAGGUUUGUAGGCCUCCUUGCUCGCACACGUUUUUUCAGUUCUGCCCACAAAUUUUCUAUAGGAUUGAGGUCAAGGCUGUGUGAUGGCCACUCCAAUACCUUGAUUUUGUUGUCCUUAAGCUAUUUUACCACAACUUUGGAAGUAUGCUUGGGGUCAUUGUGCAUUUGGAAGACCCAUUUGCGAGCAAGCUUUAACUUCCUGACUGAUGUCUUGAGAUGUUGCUUCAAUAUAUCCACAUAAUUUUCCAUCCUCAUGAUGCCAUCUAUUUUGUGAAGUGCACCAGUCCCUCCUGCAGCAAAGCACCCCCACAACAUGAUGCUGCCACCUCCGUGCUUCCCGGUUGGGAUGGUGUUCUUCGGCUUACAAGCCUCCCCCCUUUUCCUCCAAACAUAACAAUGGUCAUUAUGGCCAAACAGUUCCAUUUUUGUUUCAUCAGACCAGAGGACAUUUCUCCAAAAUGUACGAUCUUUGUCCCCAUGUGCAGUGGCAAACCGUAGUCUGGCUUUUUUAUGGCGGUUUUGGAGCAGUGGAUUCUUUCUUGCUGAGCGGCCUUUCAGGUUAUGCCGAUAUAGGACUCACUUUACUGUGGAUAUAGAUACUUUUGUACCUGUUUCCUCCAGCAUCUUCACAAGGUCCUAUGCUGUUGUUCUGGCAUUGAUUUGCACUUUUCGCACCAAAGUACGUACAUCUCUAGGAGACAGAACGCAUCUCCUUCCUGAGCUGUAUGGUGGCUGCGUGGUCCCAUGGUGUUUAUACUUGCGUACUAUAGUUUGUACAGAUGAACGUGGUACCUUCAGGCGUUUGGAAAUUGCUCCUAAGGAUGAACCAGACUUGUGGAGGUCUACAAUUUUUUUUCUGAGGUCUUGGCUGAUUUCUUUUGAUUUUCCCAUUAUGUCAAGCAAAGAGGCACUGAGUUUGAAGGUAGGCCUUGAAAUACAUCCACAGGUACACCUCCAAUGGACUCAAAUGAUGUCAAUUAGCCUAUCAGAAGCUUCUAAAGCCAUGCCAUCAUUUUCUGGCAUUUUCCAAGCUGUUUAUUGGCACAGUCAACUUAAUGUAUGUAAACUUCUGACCCACUGGAAUUGUGAUACAGUGAAAUAAUCUGUUUGUAAACAAUUGUUGGAAAAAUUACUUGUGUCAUGCACAAAGUUAGAUGUCCUAACCGACUCACCAAAACUGUAGUUUGUUAACCUGUUGGGGCUAGGGGGCAGUAUUUGCACGGCUGGAUAAAAAAAUGUACCCGAUUUAAUCUGGUUACUAAUCCUACCCAGUAACUAGAAUAUGCAUAUACUUAUUAUAUAUGGAUAGAAAACACUCUAAAGUUUCUAAAACUGUUUGAAUGGUGUCUGUGAGUAUAACAGAACUCAUUUGGCAGGCAAAACCCUGAGACAUUUUCUGACAGGAAGUGGAUACCUGAUGUGUUGUAUUACCUUUAAACCUAUGCCAUUGAAAAACACAGGGGCUGAGGAAUAUUUUGGCACUUCCUAUUGCUUCCACUAGAUGUCACCAGCCUUUACAAAGUGUUUUGAGUCUUCUGGAGGGAGAUCUGACCGAACAAGAGCCAUGGAACGAUGAUGGCCCAUUAGACACC